GGAAGUAAAAGUGUAACAAGGUCUCCGUAGGUGAACCUGCGGAGGGAUCAUUACAGAGUUCAUGCCCUACCGGGUAGAUCUCCCACCCUAUGUUAUUAUUACUUUGUUGCUUUGGCGGGCCGUUAGGCUCCGGCCCGACUACCGGCCCCGGCUGGUAAGCGCCCGCCAGAGGACCCAAAACCCUGAAUAUUAGUGUCGUCUGAGUACUAUAUAAUAGUUAAAACUUUCAACAACGGAUCUCUUGGUUCUG
rnacentral:misc_RNA from 1 species